rnacentral:rRNA from 1 species
UGGGGAAUUUUGGACAAUGGGCGAAAGCCUGAUCCAGCAAUGCCGCGUGUGUGAAGAAGGCCUUCGGGUUGUAAAGCACUUUUGUCCGGAAAGAAAUCCUUGGCUCUAAUACAGUCGGGGGAUGACGGUACCGGAAGAAUAAGCACCGGCUAACUACGUGCCAGCAGCCGCGGUAAUACGUAGGGUGCAAGCGUUAAUCGGAAUUACUGGGCGUAAAGCGUGCGCAGGCGGUUUGCUAAGACCGAUGUGAAAUCCCCGGGCUCAACCUGGGAACUGCAUUGGUGACUGGCAGGCUAGAGUAUGGCAGAGGGGGGUAGAAUUCCACGUGUAGCAGUGAAAUGCGUAGAGAUGUGGAGGAAUACCGAUGGCGAAGGCAGCCCCCUGGGCCAAUACUGACGCUCAUGCACGAAAGCGUGGGGAGCAAACAGGAUUAGAUACCCUGGUAGUCCACGCCCUAAACGAUGUCAACUAGUUGUUGGGGAUUCAUUUCCUUAGUAACGUAGCUAACGCGUGAAGUUGACCGCCUGGGGGAGUACGGUCGCAAGAUUAAAACUCAAAGGAAUUGACGGGGU